CGCGGAGUGGAGCAGGCUGGUAGCUCGGUGGGCUCAUAACCCAGAGGUCGGAGGUUCAAAUCCUCCCUCCGCAACCA
rnacentral:tRNA from 1 species